rnacentral:lncRNA from 1 species
CUUAUUGUGUGAGAUCUUUGAGUAUCUGACUUCUAUUCCGAAUGGUUCAAUGGGUAAAUGUAAGACAAGAAUGUGUAUGAGAUUUGUACGAGAUGGUACAUGUAUGUGUAUAAACUAUUUUAGCAUUGAAUCAAAGAAAUGAUGCUGAUGAAAGUAUAUAGUUUUGUGAAUAAGUAUUUGAAAGGUUUGUUAGCUAAUGUAAGCUACAUGUUGAUGUAUUCAAAUUAUUGAAUUAGAUUUAUAUGAUUGCAUUAAGUUUAUU